rnacentral:rRNA from 1 species
UACAGAGGGUGCAAGCGUUAAUCGGAAUUACUGGGCGUAAAGCGUGCGCAGGCGGUUUUGUAAGCCAGAUGUGAAAUCCCCGGGCUCAACCUGGGAAUGGCAUUUGGGACUGCAAGGCUGGAGUGCGGCAGAGGAGACUGGAAUUCCUGGUGUAGCAGUGAAAUGCGUAGAGAUGCGGAGGAACACCAGUGGCGAAAGCGACUUUCUGGUCCUUAACUGACGCUGAGGCGCGAAAGCAUGGGGAGCGAACGGG